rnacentral:rRNA from 1 species
GAUGAACGCUGGCGGUGUGCCUAAUACAUGCAAGUCGAGCGAACAGACGAGAAGCUUACUCCUCUGACGUUAGCGGCGGACGGGUGAGUAACACGUGGAUAACCUACCUAUAAGACUGGGAUAACUUCGGGAAACCGGAGCUAAUACCGGAUAACAUGUUGAACCGCAUGGUUCAACAGUGAAAGACGGUCUUGCUGUCACUUAUAGAUGGAUCCGCGUCGCAUUAGCUAGUUGGUAAGGUAACGGCUUACCAAGGCAACGAUGCGUAGCCGACCUGAGAGGGUGAUCGGCCACACUGGAACUGAGACACGGUCCAGACUCCUACGGGAGGCAGCAGUAGGGAAUCUUCCGCAAUGGGCGAAAGCCUGACGGAGCAACGCCGCGUGAGUGAAGAAGGUCUUCGGAUCGUAAAACUCUGUUAUUAGGGAAGAACAAAUGUGUAAGUAACUAUGCACGUCUUGACGGUACCUAAUCAGAAAGCCACGGCUAACUACGUG